CUACACAUGCAGUCGAGCGGAUGACGGGAGCUUGCUCCUUGAUUCAGCGGCGGACGGGUGAGUAAUGCCUAGGAAUCUGCCUGGUAGUGGGGGACAACGUUUCGAAAGGAACGCUAAUACCGCAUACGUCCUACGGGAGAAAGCAGGGGACCUUCGGGCCUUGCGCUAUCAGAUGAGCCUAGGUCGGAUUAGCUAGUUGGUGGGGUAAUGGCUCACCAAGGCGACGAUCCGUAACUGGUCUGAGAGGAUGAUCAGUCACACUGGAACUGAGACACGGUCCAGACUCCUACGGGAGGCAGCAGUGGGGAAUAUUGGACAAUGGGCGAAAGCCUGAUCCAGCCAUGCCGCGUGUGUGAAGAAGGUCUUCGGAUUGUAAAGCACUUUAAGUUGGGAGGAAGGGCAGUAAGUUAAUACCUUGCUGUUUUGACGUUACCGACAGAAUAAGCACCGGCUAACUCUGUGCCAGCAGCCGCGGUAAUACAGAGGGUGCAAGCGUUAAUCGGAAUUACUGGGCGUAAAGCGCGCGUAGGUGGUUUGUUAAGUUGGA
rnacentral:rRNA from 1 species